UGUAAUGUUUGUGCUGCAGCAUCACCAGAGCUUGUCUUCCUAGUGAGCGGUGUAUGGCUGUAGGCAGUCAGGGGGGUGUGUGUGUUUGCCUGUCUGUGUGCAUGUGACGUCAGUCCUGACCGACAGUAGAUUGUUCAACUGAGCAGAGCGCGUGCUACUUUGAGCACAUGGAAGCUGCUGGGCAAACCUUCUCAUCUGGGGACUUAUUAUUUCGGUUUACUCCCCCCCCCCCCAUGGAUUAUACGAUGCUGUACGACCCACCGGAACGAAGAGCGCCCCGACUCGUGUGGCAGACCCGGCAAAUCAGUGGAUAUAUCGUAGACCCCGUUGGUUUUACCCCAAAUAACAAUACAAAAAAAAAGAAAAUGGAAGAAAAGAAUUACAAAGGAUCUUCAGUGAAAUAAUGUGGACUCGGCAGAAGGAGGACGGCACUACACACCGCGGGGACUGUCCGGCUAUCACCAGGACUACCAGGACUAUGGUUGUGAUCAAUGUUGAUGGCGGCUCGUUAGUGAAAACAUUCAUGUAGGUUGAUUUGUCUUAUUGUAUGCAUUGCGUUUUCAUUAGGUCAGCGUAAUCUCAUUUAUGAAAGAGAGGCUCCCGGGGGGGGGGGGCUAAUGAAUAAUCGCUCGCUGGCUCUAUUGCUCUGGGUCAGCCUUUUGUGUUCCGAUUCAUUGAUUUGCUGUUAUUGUAUCAAUUGCUUGGCAUGGGAUGGCGAAGGGGCUGACAAAGCAGAGGACGGAGGAAUUACAGGGAACCAAUAGUCUCUGCAAUCAUUUAUUUAGACCUACAAUGCAGGGAGUGUAGAGAAACUUAAACCACAUCUUAUUGUUAUUUCAAAAGCAAUUUAAUAUUUUUAUUUUUUUAAUCUGCGGUUUUCAUUAAAGUCGUAGGGGUGGGGCAGAGGCAGGGCCGUCCUAAUAGCAUCAUGAGCCCCUGGGCAAAGUAAUGCUCUGGGGCCCCUACAAUGAUGACAGUGAAGGUAAACAGACAUCAGGUAGGUAGG